rnacentral:snRNA from 1 species
GCGAUAUUUUGGCAGUGCAUAUACUAAAAGUGGAAUGGGAUAGAGAAGAUUAGCAUGGUCCCUUUGCAAGGAUGUCUUGCAGAUUUGUGUACCAUAUCUUC